rnacentral:rRNA from 1 species
UACAGAGGUCCCAAGCGUUGUUCGGAUUCAUUGGGCGUAAAGGGUGCGUAGGCGGCGCGGUAAGUCGGGUGUGAAAUCUCGGGGCUUAACUCCGAAACUGCAUUCGAUACUGCCGUGCUUGAGGACUGGAGAGGAGACUGGAAUUUACGGUGUAGCGGUGAAAUGCGUAGAUAUCGUAAGGAAGACCAGUGGCGAAGGCGGCUCUCUGGGACGGUACUGACGCUGAGACGCGAAAGCGUGGGGAGCGAACAGG